AUAAUACAGCUGCAAUGCAUUGCGCAUUCACAUUGCUCACUCCUCCAACAUAUACAGCUAUCUCAGGUAUGAUAUGUCACUUUUAUUGCUUAGAAUGUACUCUGUUAACAAACUUUUAUACUAAUCAAUGUCAAUUAUACAAAGUUAUACACAAUAAAAACAAUGCUAUGCUUAGUAUGUUCUUUUUGACUGCAAAACAUCUGUUCCUCACCCCAUAAUUAAAUUUCUAAGUAUUUUAACACUAAAAUGAAUAUAUUUCUAAUCAGUUUAAAACUUUAUACAACUCGAACAUUUGUAACAGCUUUUAUCAAUCUCAUUGUUAGAGGAACUAUAUAUUAUACCUCUGAUAAGUUUUGUUACAAAAGUGUCUCUUCAAUUCAAAAGUUACUGCAACAACACAAGCAACUCUCCCAGCUACAGUACAUUGCCUCUCCAGUGCAAACCUUCUCAAUCAACCAUUCAGUCUAGAUUUCCUACUGCAAAUUGAAGGUAUGCAUACCUACCCAACACAUAUAGUUUACAUUCUCUUCUUUUUAUGUGGCCAUGUAAUUCUUUCAAGGCAUAUUCUAACAAAUCUUCAAAUAAAAUCAAUUAAUAAACAAACUUCUCUUUACCAUGCCACUUCAGUUGUUUUGGCACAUAAAUUGUAUAUAUGUUAAAUUUAAGAAACUAAUUCUAUUGCUUCUUUUUGUUGUAGAGAUACAUAUUAACAAAGAACCACAUACCCAUGCUUGGACACUUCUCACUUUUCAAGUUAGCACUGGUUGUAGCUAAAAAGUCUUCUCAAUGUCAAUUAUACAAAGUUAUACACAAAAAAAACAAUGCUAUGCUUACUCUGUUCUUUUUCCCUACAAAACAUCAACUUUCUAACUCUUUUAAAACUAAAAUGAAUAUAUUUCUAAUCAGUUUUAAACUUUACACUACUCAAACAUUUCUAGCAGCUUUUAUUAAUCUCGUUCUUAGAGCAUCUAUGUAUUAUCCUCUGAUAGCUUUUGUUACAAAAAUGUUUCUUCCAUUCAAAACUGACUGCUGCAACAUAAACAACUCACCCAGGAAGGAUGCAAGGCCCGCAACACACCAGGCAACCUGAGCCAAUCUCAAAGCCUCCAAUUUCCAUAUACCAGUUUUCAGGAUUAGACCAUAGCAGAGCAUGUCAACAUAUGAAGGUGACUUGGUGGCAAAAUGCUACUUUACAAAGCACAACACCUGUGUAUUAUCCUCUAGUGACUUUAGUUACAAAACUCUCUAUUCCAUUCAAAAGUCACUACUGCAACAUUAACAACUCACCCAGAGAUACAUAUUAACAGACAACAACAUACCCAUGAUUGCACUCCAUGUCGAUUACAACCAAACAUUUUCUGGCAAAACCUUUGACCGACCACACUAAAUCACCUUUCCUAUUUCACCAAUAUCCAUUCAUUUUGUUCCCCAUAUUUCAGAUUUAAAUAUCUCAAAUCUAUCACUGUGUUGCCCUUGUAAAAAUUGCAGACAACAAACAAAAAAAUUUAGGGUGUUUUCAAACUUCACUGCAUUCCAGAUUUAUGACACUAAUCAGGUCAGUUACAAAGUUAUACACACAAAAAAAAAUGCUAUACUUACUCUGUACUUUUUCUUUGCAAAACAUCAACUUUCUAACUCUUUUAACACUAAAAUAAAUAUAUUUCUAAUCAGUUUUAAACUUUACACUGUUCAAACAUUUCUAACAACUUUUAUUGAUCUCACUGUUAGAGCAUCUGUGUAUUAUCCUUUGAUAACUUUUGUUACAAAACUAUUUGUUCCAUUCAAAACUCGCUACUGCAACAUAAACAACUCACCCAGCUGUGAUUUCAACGGAAGGAUCCAAGGCCUGCAACACACCAGGCAACUUGAGCCAAUCUCAAAGCCUCCA